CCCACAGGCCGUAAACCCAAGGUUUCCAGGGGAAGGUUCGUCCGCCCUGGGUUAGUCGGGACCUAAGCUGAGGCCGAAAGGCGUAGGUGAUGGACAACAGGUUGAUAUUCCUGUACUACCGAUAACCAUUUGAGAGAAGGGAUGACACAGUAGGAUAAGCUAAGCACACUGUUGGUUAUGUGUGCCCAAGCAUUGAGGCAGUCAAAGUAGGCAAAUCCGCUUUGAUAAUGCUGGGAUGUGAUGGGGAGCGAAAUUUAGUAGCGAAGUAGCUGAUUUCACACUGUCAAGAAAAGUCUCUAUCGAGGGUAAAGGUACCCGUACCGCAAACCGACACAGGGGGGUGAGGAGAGUAUCCUAAGGCCAGCGAGAGAACUGUUGUUAAGGAACUCGGCAAAAUGACCCCGUAACUUAGGGAUAAGGGGUGCCACCAUCAGGUGGCCGCAGAGAAUAGGCCCAAGCGACUGUUUAC
rnacentral:rRNA from 1 species